rfam:Lupinus angustifolius cultivar Tanjil chromosome LG02, whole genome shotgun sequence.
AGGUGCGAUCACCAGCACAAAUGCACUAGAUACCAUAUGAACUCCGCAGAUAAGCGUGCUUGGGCUAGAGUAGUACUAGGAUGGGUGACCUCCUGGGAAAUCCUCGUGUUGCGCCUC